GACGAACGCUGGCGGCGUGCCUAAUACAUGCAAGUAGAACGCUGAAGGAGGAGCUUGCUUCUCUGGAUGAGUUGCGAACGGGUGAGUAACGCGUAGGUAACCUGCCUGGUAGCGGGGGAUAACUAUUGGAAACGAUAGCUAAUACCGCAUAAGAGUAGAUGUUGCAUGACAUUUGCUUAAAAGGUGCAAUUGCAUCACUACCAGAUGGACCUGCGUUGUAUUAGCUAGUUGGUGGGGUAACGGCUCACCAAGGCGACGAUACAUAGCCGACCUGAGAGGGUGAUCGGCCACACUGGGACUGAGACACGGCCCAGACUCCUACGGGAGGCAGCAGUAGGGAAUCUUCGGCAAUGGACGGAAGUCUGACCGAGCAACGCCGCGUGAGUGAAGAAGGUUUUCGGAUCGUAAAGCUCUGUUGUAAGAGAAGAACGAGUGUGAGAGUGGAAAGUUCAGACUGUGACGGUAUCUUACCAGAAAGGGACGGCUAACUACGU
rnacentral:rRNA from 1 species